CCUACGGGAGGCAGCAGUGAGGAAUUUUCCGCAAUGGGCGAAAGCCUGACGGAGCAAUACCGCGUGAGGGAUGAAGGAUUUUGGUCUGUAAACCUCUUUUCUCAAGAAAGAAGUUCUGACGGUACUUGAGGAAUAAGCAUCGGCUAACUCCGUGCCAGCAGCCGCGGUAAUACGGGGGAUGCAAGCGUUAUCCGGAAUGAUUGGGCGUAAAGCGCCUGUAGGUUGUUUAUUAAGUCCGUUGUUAAAGCCUAGGGCUUAACCCUAGAAAAGCAAUGGAAACUAGUAGACUAGAGUAUGGCAGGGGUAGAGGGAAUUUCUAGUGUAGCGGUGAAAUGCGUAGAUAUUAGAAAGAACACCGGUGGCGAAAGCGCUCUACUGGACCAUUACUGACACUCAGAGGCGAAAGCUAGGGUAGCAAAAGGGAUUAGAUACCCCUGUAGUCCUAGCCGUAAACGAUGGAUACUAGAUGUUGUGCAUUAUGUACAGUAUCGUAGCUAACGCGUUAAGUAUCCCGCCUGGGGAGUACGCUCGCAAGGGUGAAACUUAAAGGAAUUGACGGCUGAGANGCGACGACGACACGAGGAGAG
rnacentral:rRNA from 1 species